GGGAUAACUAUUGGAAACGAUAGCUAAUACCGCAUAAGAGUAGAUGUCGCAUGACAUUUGCUUAAAAGGUGCAAUUGCAUCACUACCAGAUGGACCUGCGUUGUAUUAGCUAGUUGGUGGGGUAACGGCUCACCAAGGCGACGAUACAUAGCCGACCUGAGAGGGUGAUCGGCCACACUGGGACUGAGACACGGCCCAG
rnacentral:rRNA from 1 species